ACGCAGGGAACUGAAACAUCUUAGUACCUGCAGGAGAAGAAAACAAACGAUGAUUCCCCCAGUAGCGGCGAGCGACCGGGGAUAAGCCCAAACCGUUAUUGUUUCGGCAGUAUGCGGGGUAGUAGGACUGCGACAUUGAUGAAAUAAAUGAAAUGGAACACUUUGGAAAAUGUGAUCACAGAGGGUGAUAAUCCCGUACAUGUAAGUUUAUGAAUCAUAGCAGACUCCUGAGUAAGUCGGGACACGUGUAAUCCUGACCGAAUCCGCCGGGACCAUCCGGCAAGGCUAAAUACUCCUGAGAGACCGAUAGUGAACCAGUACCGUGAGGGAAAGGUGAAAAGCACUUCGAACAGAAGAGUGAAAUAGUCCCUGAACCCAUACGCCUACAAGCAGUCGGAGCCGCUUCGUGCGGUGACGGCGUGCCUUUUGCAUAAUGAGCCUACGAGUUACUCAUCACCAGCGAGGUUAAGUACUUCAGGUACGUAAGCCGAAGCGAAAGCGAGUCUGAAUAGGGCGUCAAGUUGGUGGUGGUAGACGCGAAACCUAGUGAUCUACCCAUGGGCAGGGUGAAGGUUUGGUAACACAAACUGGAGGCCCGAACCGGUAAACGUUGAAAAGUUUUCGGAUGACCUGUGGGUAGGGGUGAAAGGCCAAUCAAACUGGGAAAUAGCUCGUACUCUCCGAAAUGCAUUUAGGUGCAGCCUCUGUUGUUUUGUUCUAGAGGUAGAGCUACUGAUUGGAUGCGAGGGCUUCACCGCCUAUCAAAUCCGGCCAAACUCCGAAUGCUAGAACAUGAAGACAGGGAGUGAGCCAGCGGGUGCUAAGGUCCGUUGACGAAAGAGGGAGAACUCAGACCAUCAGCUAAGGUCCCCAAUUAUAUGCUAAGUUGGAAUAAAAACGGGGUGGGACUGCUUAGACAGCUAGGAUGUUGGCUUGGAAGCAGCCAUUCAUUUAAAGAGUGCGUAACAGCUCACUAGUCGAGCGGUCCUGCAUGGAUAAUACGCGGGCAUAAGCAUAUAACCGAAGCUAUGGGAUUGUAGAUGAUACAAUCGGUAGGAGAGCAUUCCAUUCAGCAUAGAAGCAGUAUCGUGAGGUAUUGUGGAGCGGAUGGAAAAGCAAAUGUAGGCAUAAGUAACGAUAAUGCGGGUGAGAACCCCGCACGCCGAAAGAUCAAGGAUUCCCCGGCAAUGUCAAUCAUCCGGGGGUAAGUCGGAUCCUAAGGGUAAGCCGAGUGGCGAUCCCGAUGGUAAACAGGUUAAUAUUCCUGUACUGAUCAUAACUGCGAUGCAGCGACGCAGAGGUGACACUGCUGCGUACUGACGGAAUAGUACGUUGAAACCCGUAUUCUUUGAUACCGGUAGUGAAGCACGCCGGUAGAGAUGAAAGGUGAUAGUACCGCAAUGCUUCGGUUGCGCGGAUAAUGCAGGUAAGCUGACUGCCAAGAAAACCUGCUAAGCUUCAGGUAAUGAUCAUCCGUACUGUAAACGGACACACGUGAUCAGGUAGAAAAUACUAAGGCGCUCGAGAGAUUCAUGGUUAAGGAACUAGGCAAAAUGACCCUGUAACUUCGGGAUAAAGGACGCUCUUGUGAAAGAGCCGCAGAUAAUAGGCCCAGGCGACUGUUUACCAAAAACACAUGGCUAUGCUAAUUCGCAAGAAGAUGUAUAUGGCCUGACACCUGCCCGGUGCCGGAAGGUUAAGAGGAGAGCUCAGAGGUAACUCGAAGGUUUGAAUUGAAGCCCCGGUAAACGGCGGCCGUAACUAUAACGGUCCUAAGGUAGCGAAAUUCCUUGUCGGGUAAGUUCCGACCUGCACGAAUGGUGUAACGAUCUGGGUACUGUCUCAACCAUGAGCUCGGUGAAAUUGUAGUUCCGGUGAAGAUGCCGGAUACCCGCAACGGGACGGAAAGACCCCGUGAACCUUUACUGCAGCUUUGCAUUGAUUUUGGGUAACAGAUGUGUAGGAUAGGUCGGAGGCUUUGAUGCUGCGUCGUCAGGCGUAGAGUAGCCGCCGUUGAAAUACGACCCUUUUGUUAUUUGAGUUCUAACCCGUUAGGGAGACAUUGCAUGGUGGGUAGUUUGACUGGGGUGGUCGCCUCCAAAAGUGUAACGGAGGCUUCUCAAGGUACCCUCAAGGCGUUUGGUAAUCGUCUGCAGAGUGCAAUGGCAUAAGGGUGCUUGACUGUGAGACCGACACGUCGAUCAGGUUGG
rnacentral:rRNA from 1 species